AGUGGAAUAACUGGGUCAAAUGGUGGUUCCAUUUCAAGUUUUCUAAGGAGUCUCCAUACUGCUUUCCAGAGUGGUUGCACCAAUUUGCGGUCCUAUCAGCAAU
rnacentral:pre_miRNA from 1 species